AAUGAACGCUGGCGGCGCGCCUAAUACAUGCAAGUCGAGCGAGAAGACGUAGCAAUACGUUUGUAAAGCGGCGAACGGGUGAGGAAUACAUGGGUAACCUACCCUCGAGUGGGGAAUAACUAGCCGAAAGGUUAGCUAAUACCGCGUACGCUUCUUGGACUUCGGUUCAGGGAGGAAAGCGAUGCCGAGGGUAUCGCGCUCUUGGAUGGGCUCAUGUCCUAUCAGCUUGUUGGCGAGGUAACGGCUCACCAAGGCUUCGACGGGUAGCUGGUCUGAGAGGACGAUCAGCCACACUGGCACUGCGACACGGGCCAGACUCCUACGGGAGGCAGCAGUAAGGAAUAUUGCGCAAUGGGCGAAAGCCUGACGCAGCGACGCCGCGUGGGGGAUGAAGGUCUUCGGAUUGUAAACCCCUUUCGGGAGGGAAGAUGGAA
rnacentral:rRNA from 1 species